ensembl:lncRNA
GCCACAGGGGAACGAGUGCGCGCGCGCCUUAAAGGGGCAGGCACCGCGGGCCGGUCGCCCUGCUUGCCGAGCAGGCUUCCCGCUGAGCCCGAGGCCGUGUGAACCCUGCGGCGGCCUUUUACCGUGACGAGGUUUCACUGGGGUCGCCCCUUGCCCCAGUGCCUCCGCCCGCCCGCGGGCCUCUCCGCGCUGGGCGGCCUCGGGCGGCCUCCUCGAGCCGCGGGUACGGGAAGAUCCUCGGGGAAGGCGGAACUGUGAGCGGCCCGGGCAAAACGCACUUCCCUGCUCUCCUAGUCCCCCUCUGUACAUGGGCGUGCUGGGUCCUGCACACCAACAGGCCAGUUCAAAGCUUUAUUCUUGGUAUUGGUGUUUCUGAGAAGUUUCUCGGUUUACUGUCACCCCCUUUCCAUUUGUUCUUACCCAGUUCUGGUGUCUUUUCAACAUGAAUCAUCCCCUGUUGACGCGGCUAYAUAUAGGCAAUGAUAAAAGUUCUGAACUUGAUGAUUUUGCCAUUGUUUCCUUAAACAUACACAUAGCUGAAAUGGCAUGAGGAACGGGAAAUAUUGGUACAAACUAGGGAAGAUUUCGCACUUCUUUCUGAACUGUGCUCUUCUCUCUUUGAAACCCACUUCGUUCUCUAAAAUCCAACUCUUCUGCCUUAUUUCCCUUAGCAGUCAAUUCAGCUGCUGAGUUCUCAAAUUAUUCCUUCCCUGUUUUAUUGGUGAAAUAAUAGCUUGCUGUAAAAGCAAGUGACUUUGCAGAACUUACAWCGGUAUAUUCAUUUCUGAAUUCACCAGAAGAGGUUGUUACGCAAACAUUACACAGAAAGUGCGAUUACAAUAACCGGUACUUCAGAUAAACCCGCUCAAGCUGAUGGAGCAGUUUCCGAAGAAAGCAGAUGACAAACAGCACUGCGGAGAACGGAAAGGAGAAAGCCCUGUCUUCCCCAAACGGUAUCUUGUUUGCUUUGCGGUGGGGCGCUGACGCUUUUGUCUUUACAGGGGAAGAGGAAAAGGAGACGUGCGGUCAUUAGGGCGAGGCUGGAGUUUAGGGUAAGAACAAUCACGUCAGUUCUUACCUAUCGCACUCCCUACCGAAGCGUGUUUUGAAAUUACAGGCGUUUAACGCCUGUAAUAAUAAAUAAAAAAAAUAAAUAUAAUAAAAAGCA